rnacentral:misc_RNA from 1 species
CAAACCACACGCACCAUAGCACACAAGACUCAGUAUCGUUCAUAGUGUGAUGCUGUACGUUUCUAUCCCAUUAGUCGCUUUUGUUCAUUUCUAGUAUAGCACGUUCGCCCCAGCAUGCUUCGCUCUACGCUGACGAGGCGGAGUGGCUUCAGCGUGAAGGAGCUUUACCCGUAUGGGGUGCCGAGGCGCACAUUUCCGUACCGCGAGCAUCAGAAGCAAAUCAGCUUGGCGCCUACCGCAGGCGGGUUUUAUGUAACCAAGCACGCCCUCGGCUGGCCGUUUCAAAUCCCGUUUGAGUGGCUCUUCUACCGCUCGUCUGUGGCCUUCUUUGUAUUCUGCGUAGCGUAUGAUAUGCUCUUUGGCCUUCCACACCCAUUUAUGAAGGAAGUGCCGCCGGGAACGCCACAUCACUUUUUCUUCGGUAAUGCGGGUGGCACCCCGCACCAUUUGUGGCAGUACCAAGACGGCUGGACGGUGCCGAACAUGUCUGGUGGCCGGCGCUGGUUCGAUUAGUAUGCUCUCGCAGCCCACGCUUGUCGAGUGAAACAGUUACGUUCAGAGGUGUGGACCACAUCGAGGAGAACGCAAAAGGAGACAAGCACCGCUACGAUUUUGUACCACCCAAUAGUUUGCAGUCACUUACAUCAUGCAAGUGGGAGAAGAGCUGGAGGCCUGCUUUUCACUUUCGCCUAGAACUGCUUAGCACAUUUAUAACGGCUACUACCUGGUUCUGUCAUGCUAGCUCUCCAUACCCCCAUCUCCUUUUCCUUUUCUUCGUUAGCGGUAUGCUCUUUGUGUGACAGGUACUCUG